CCAAACCCAACCCGGUUAAAACAAAACCAAAUCCCCUUCACUGUCGAGUCGUCUUCCCCAAAUUAGCAACUCUAAAACCUCCAUUAAAUCCAAUUUCUCCAUUAUCAUUCUGAAAUUAUUACCCUAGCUCUCUAGUGCAUCAUUUCACGUUUCCCCCAGCGUAACUUUUUAUUGUUAAAGAGUUCAAAAUGCCUGCUGGGUCAAGCGGCUCAAUUGACUCAAAGAGGAAGUGUCGUUGUGGAUUUGUAGCGCAUCAUUUUACGGCGACAACUCCUAUGAACUGUGGGAGACAUUUUUACAAGUGUCUAUUGCCUGAAAAAUAAGGUUAUGGGUAUUGGAAAUGGGAUGAUGUUGAAUUUUUCCCGCGAGCUGUAAUCGUCAUUAGCAGUCAAAAGAGAAAAUUGGAAGCUUUUGAAAUUGAAAGAAAUAGGUUGUUGAAGAAGAUAGAUGAUUUAGAAGCUUCUGCUGUUAUUGAUGUUGCAACGAUAACAGAGUUGAGGGAAAGAUUGGAUGCACUUGAAGCAUCUGCUAUUGAGGAUAACUUGAAGAUUGUGGAGUUGAGGGGAAAAGUAUUCCGACAGUCGAUUUUCUUGAUUUGGUUGUUCGCUUGCCUUAUUGUGUUCAUGGCAGCAUGGGCUACCAAACGAUCCAUGUAAUGAUCAUUACUUAGAAUUUCAAAAGUUUAGUCUUUUGUUAGGUAUAUGUUUGUUCUAUGUAAUUUCGACUUGUUUCCAAUCUUUCCGAAUCAUGUAAUAGUCUAUGUUGUGAACUUGUUUCCAAUCUUCCCGAAUCAUGUAAUAGUCUAUAUUGUGAACUUGUCUCUAA